UAAAGCGCCAUUACAAAAGCCUACCUAAAACAACACACUUAAAACCACCAGAUAGUCAAAGCUAUCCAGACGUUUGGGUUAUAAAUAAAAACCGGAAUGUUUUUAUUUUAAAGUUUUGAAAUAGCACAACCAACAGAUCAGCUGAUCGCUAGAGGGAAUGCCCGAUUCUUUGAAGUUUUUAAAGCCACCACUCGGAAAUUUCCCCGCAUUCGAGACUGAGGAAUAGACUAAGCUUCGAGGAUAGCUCUAGCUUGUGAACGUUUAGCCAUUAGUUAUCUGAGUACCCAAGCAUAGCUGUUGAUUUCUUAUAAAGAGAUAAACAAGCAACAAUCGAAAACCCCCGAAAAAGUACUGUUUUCAUAGUGAUGUAAACAUAGCACCCGAGUAUUACAACACUCGGAACAAAUAGUUCCUGACACCCAGCUGACUUCUCUGUCCAUCUCUGGCAUCAUGCCCGACUACCUGUACAUCCCGCUGACCGUCCUUGCCCUUGUGGUCGGCCUGGCAGCCCUGGUGGCUACCAUGUUCUGGGUUCACAAGAAACGCAAAGACUUCCUGGCACAGCGGGAGCAAAAAUCUGCAAACACUCGCAGAAUACAAAACCUGCUGUUGGGGAACAACUUGGGGAGCCGCAUCUACAAAGGCCCGGACAAGAUGAAAGUGGCCCUCGUAUCGAAGAUCGAUCACUCUCCCGUCAUGAUCGAUCUCAAUACUAUCGACGUCUAAGACGACAAGGUGUAGUGAAUAAACUUUUGUACUGUCCAAACUGGUAUAAAUACUUCAGACUUCUCUAUGCCAGGAUUUUUCACGUCAUACAAACUUAAAAUCAGUAUUCAUGGUGGAUCGGGUUGUCUACUUAAGACAUUUAAUGAAGCUUACGUUGCAGUUGCAGAUUUUUGGUCUAUAAAUAGAUGUCUCUUUGUGUCGGUCGGAUUGGUUUUAACAUAGUCGGCUAUCGACAGCAUUCAAUGUGUUGGUCUAUAAUAACAUUCCACGCUACAAUUGUAAGAUAUAUUGGUGACUGGUUUGUAGUGGAUUAGAGCGAUUAGUGAACGCAAUUGUAAGAGAUCUGCUGACACUGGUUUGUUGUGGAUUAGAGGGAUUAGUAUUCGCGAUUGUAAGAUACAUUGUUGAUUGGUUUGUUCUGGAUUAGAGGGAUUAGUGAAGACAAGAGUGAAAUGUGUGAAACGGGAGAAGCGGGGUAGUGAAGUGAGCAGGCAUUUAAUGAGAGUGAGUAAAAGAAUGAGACCAUAAACGGUCAACGUAAACUGGAAACAAAAUUUUCUUGUAAAUAUGUGUUUUAUAAUUUAAAAUUUUAAAUAUUUGUUGCAUGAUGUUUUAACACUAGCCAAGGUUUGUGUAAAACAUCGCAAAAGUUGGGUUUUAAAAAUUAGGUCAGACGAGUCAAUAUAUGUAAAAAAAACGAAACACUAUAAUUUCUUAUAGAAAUAAUGUUAUUUUAGAUCCAUAAUACAACAUAAUUUUUAAUUAUAACUUUUAAAUUGCAUUUUAGUUGUUUUAUGUAUUUUUAUUUUGAUAUUUUAAUCACGUAAUGAAAAGUUGUGUAAAUAUGGAGAAUUAUCUGACAACAUAGUUGACGAAAAGUGCCUAGCUUUUAAACUUUGUAAAGAUUUUAGUUUUGACUCUUGAUCUAUCUCAUGAUUUACCUGAGUAUGUCUGGCACCUACACAUCCUAACUGGACAUAUAGAUACAGGUAGAUGGUCUAUGUACUGACUACCUUCCGUGGUCUUUCUUGCUGUGGUUCGGAUCCAAGUCCGGUUGAACCGUGUAAAAAGGUAUUGUAAUAUAAGUAUUGUAAUAUAAUUUUAAAAUGUUUGGUUCAAGCGCGUAGCAGGCAUUCAAGUUUUGUUGAUGUGAGUUUACAUGGUAUGAGGAGUGGAGCUGUUGUGUACAUAACGACUAGAUAUGUGAGAGGAGAGAGAGAGAGAUAGAGAGAGAGCGAGAGAGAGAGAGAGAAGAGUGAGGUUGGAAAGGAAAACUAAUAGUGAGUAAAAAGAUGAACUAUGUGGAAAGAGGAGAAAGAGAGAUUGAAAAGAUUGCAUAAGAAAAGAGACAAAGCGAGAGAGAAUGAGAGAAGCAUAUGCAAGAUGGAGAAGAGUAGGGGGUGGGGAAGGUAGGGAGAGAGGCUGAGAGGAUGGUUGUGGAGAUGAAGGAUUAAGUAAAAGAGGAAAACAAUUGUGUUCAUAUAAGCGCAUUCCAAAAUUCUGUACAUUUUUCAAACCCAUGUGUUUUGUACAUUUUUUCUACUCAUAAUGUUUUGUACGUUUUGGUACUUUUGCAAAUCAAAAUAAAACUUUUUUUUCCACAAA